rnacentral:lncRNA from 1 species
CGAAACGGGAAAGAAAGGAAAGAAACAUAGCCAUGUCCUUCUAUCAACAUCUGGUGCUCGGAGAUAUUGAAAUGUUGGGACUAUAUGUCUCAGCUUCUUUUGUCGUAUCUUUAUUUUAAGGAAAUGAAUUCGCUGUGGAUCAAGUAUUGGUAAAUAAAAGAGAGAAGUAAUAGUGAAAGUGUCCUUUUUUAUAUACAUAUAUGGCCUUGCCCUUGGUAUAACAACGUGAUGGCAUUUGUUUUGAAGUGCUCUCCUACAAGUUUUUGGGUUCCUCUCCAUGUUGACAAUCAUUUUGGAUGGUUAUCCACCUUGACACACGUUAUUGGAGGGUUGAGUUUUUUUUUUUUUGCAGGUCCGUUCUCUUCUUGAUUUAUUUUCUUUUUGGCACCAGAGUGACAGUUGCAAGACUUGUGAUAAAAAAGAUGAUAGAGACUUAAAAGAGUGUCACCAGCAUCCAUCAAGGUAAACUAGUUGUGUUGACUGGUGUUGGAACUUAUUGCACGGUGCUGGAGUUUAUGGUGUCUUGAUUGAUUUAUACAAUUUAGUUGGUUUAAGGAGAUUAUAGCAAGGUUUAAGGAGAUUAUCCCAUUGUCAGGUUAGUUGGCCAGGCGAGGACGGAGAAUGAGAGAAUGAGGAGAGGUUUGUUUAACAGAGAAAAAUAGGACCAGAAAUGCUUACACAGAAAAAUAGAUUUGGAAAUUGAAAUAACUCUUUGCCCGUUGCAGAAGUUUCUCUUCUUCACCCUUGCAUCUUCAAGAUAAAGAUGUGAGAGAUGGCCACUCAACACUGGUUUCAAUUUUGAUUUUAACUUGAAGCUCCAUACAUGAUGGUAUUUCUAAGUUUUGGUGUAUUAUUUUAGAUUGUAUGGAAUUUUGCUUGUGUACAAUUGUAGGGUUUUAAUUUUUGAUUUUGAGUCAGGACAGUUAUACUAAUAUUAUUCUUUUAGAAAUUAAAUGUAUAAAGGUUUAUUGAUGAAAAUAACGAAAAAGAAUUAUCUAUAUUAUUCUUCAAAUGACAAUUGUUUAAAGUAAUAU